rnacentral:lncRNA from 1 species
AAUCAGUAGUAUUUAAGGUUGGAUAGUAUUGAAGACUUCACAUGUGAUUAAAACAGGGAAGAAAUGUUAUUAGGUUAGUAUAACAGUAGAAUAUUACAUUCCUUUUCACACUUGCAGAAUUGGAGCAUUAAGAAUAAACCUUCACCUAUAAUUUACUUUCUUGAUUUUAUUUUUUAUUUCUAAUAUUAAAUGUGUAUUCAAAAAUUUUUGUUUUG